UUUUGAAAUUUCUUUGACUAUGUAGUGUAGAUAAAUAAAUACUCUUAGCAGACUGGAUUUGAGGCAUUCUAGUUUAUUUGGUAGACGAAAUUCAGUUUAGAUUCUGAAUUUGUUGAAUAUGUGACAAUUCCUUCAUUCUCAAGUGCAAUAGAUCCUUUGUGGUAGUAAGAAUUCAUAUUAUUGUGAUGUUUACUCCUGUUUAAGUUUUUCAUUCUCAUUGUUCUGACCGGUUACCAUUUUGGUUUGCAGAAAGGUACCAAGAGGGUGCAUUUCGUCAUGUACUUGAUCAGGGAGGUCGCUGGGUUUGCUCUGUAUGAGAAGCGUAUCACUGAGCUUCUCCAUCUCCCUCUCAUCUUCCUUUGCUCGCUAUUGCUACUCCGAAUUAUACAUGUUGGCAAAAAGAUGUCCCUGUUUCGUCAGUACUAUGCACUGCUAUAUUUAUGUGGUUGUCUUGUGUGCAUCUUAUUUUGAAACCAAGUGAGACACCUCCAUCCCCUACAUCUUGACGAUCCCUCUACUAGUGUACAUUUGAGUUGCUCUCACUACCUCCUGCCCCAAGAUUCGUAAUUGCAUUUGUUGCCUGCUCACUUAAUUAAUUAAAACUGCAUGUGUUCGUGUAAGUAUGGCUGUGAGAACGAUAUCAAUGGUGCCUUCCACCAAACAGAUUGAACUUUUAAUACAUGCUAUGCAUGCUUGUGUACGUAAACAUUCUUUAUAUUUGUUGUUGUUAUUGUUGACCAUGCAGUCUAAAAAACACACUGUCUUUUCUUUUCGUGUGUAACAGCCAAGAUGAUUUGCUUUACACUUACAAUUCGUGUUGACUAAAUCCGAGCAAGUCUCCUGCAGUUCCACCAUAAGUAACACUCUGCAGGUGCAGCUCAAAUCUUGCUCUAUUUCUUUUUUGUGUUGGCUCGAUCAGG
rnacentral:lncRNA from 1 species